AACAGGAUUAGAUACCCUGGUAGUCCAUGCCGUAAACGGUGGGCGCUAGGUGUGAGGGUCUUUUCACGACUUUCGUGCCGUAGCUAACGCAUUAAGCGCCCCGCCUGGGGAGUACGGCCGCAAGGCUAAAACUCAAAGGAAUUGACGGGGGCCCGCACAAGCGGCGGAGCAUGUGGAUUAAUUCGAUGCAACGCGAAGAACCUUACCUGGGCUUGACAUACACCGGAUCGGGCUAGAGAUAGUCCUUCCCUUUGUGGCUGGUGUACAGGUGGUGCAUGGUUGUCGUCAGCUCGUGUCGUGAGAUGUUGGGUUAAGUCCCGCAACGAGCGCAACCCUUGUCUUAUGUUGCCAGCAUUUGGUUGGGGACUCAUGAGAGACUGCCGGGGUCAACUCGGAGGAAGGUGGGGAUGACGUCAAAUCAUCAUGCCCCUUAUGUCCAGGGCUUCACACAUGCUACAAUGGUCGGUACAACGCGCAGCGACACUGUGAGGUGGAGCGAAUCGCUGAAAGCCGGCCUUAGUUCGGAUUGGGGUCUGCAACUCGACCCCAUGAAGUCGGAGUCGCUAGUAAUCGCAGAUCAGCAACGCUGCGGUGAAUACGUUCCCGGGCCUUGUACACACCGCCCGUCACGUCAUGAAAGUUGGUAACACCCGAAGCCGGUGGCCCAAACUUGUUAGGGAGCCGUCGAAGGUGGGAUCGGCGAUUGGGACGAAGUCGUAACAAGGUAACC
rnacentral:rRNA from 1 species